rnacentral:tRNA from 1 species
GCAUUAAUGGGGUAGUGGUAACCUGGGUCGUUGCCAUUCGAGUGUUGACUCGACCCGCCGGGAGUUCGAUUCUCUCUUAAUGCA